rnacentral:lncRNA from 1 species
GGGCCGCAGUGAGCCCUCCCCAUUCUACUGAGCUAGUCCGGAUAAGCCUGGUCCCCACAGUGCAGCAUGCAGCAUUCUGUCCUGAGACAGAUGUCCUCCCCUUUCCCUGUCUUCAGCCCGCAGGGGCCUCUCUCCUCAAGGCAGGAAACAUGAACUCCUUUUGAC